AUACUUAUCUGGACGGGGUCAAUGGGCGAUCAACAAGGCUCAUGUCCUAGGCUGGUGACCGCCAUUGCACACUCCGGAGAGGUGCCUGCCUAAGGUCAGCCCUAGUGGUCGAGCCUACGUCAUAAUUUGUGACAGUGGGGCCUGUGUUAAACGCCGUCCCUAC
rfam:Capsicum annuum cultivar Zunla-1 chromosome 5, whole genome shotgun sequence